rnacentral:rRNA from 1 species
UACGAGGGGGGCGAGCGUUGUUCGGAUUUACUGGGCGUAAAGCGCACGUAGGCGGAUUGUUAAGUCAGGGGUGAAAUCCUGGAGCUCAACUCCAGAACUGCCUUCGAUACUGGCGAUCUCGAGCCGGGAGAGGUGAGUGGAACUGCGGAGUGUAGAGGUGGAAAUUCGUAGAUAUUCGCAAAGAACACCAGUGGCGAAGGCGGCUCACUGGCCCGGUACUGACGCUGAGGUGCGAAAGCGUGGGGAGCAAACAGG